CCGGGUGAGUAACGCGUAUCCAACCUUCCCAUUACUGUGGGAUAACCUGCCGAAAGGCAGACUAAUACCGCAUAGUCUUCGAUGACGGCAUCAGAUUUGAAGUAAAGAUUUAUCGGUAAUGGAUGGGGAUGCGUCUGAUUAGCUUGUUGGCGGGGUAACGGCCCACCAAGGCGACGAUCAGUAGGGGUUCUGAGAGGAAGGUCCCCCACAUUGGAACUGAGACACGGUCCAAACUCCUACGGGAGGCAGCAGUGAGGAAUAUUGGUCAAUGGGCGAGAGCCUGAACCAGCCAAGUAGCGUGCAGGAUGACGGCCCUAUGGGUUGUAAACUGCUUUUGUAUGGGGAUAAAGUCAAUCACGUGUGAUUGUUUGCAGGUACCAUACGAAUAAGGACCGGCUAAUUCCGUGCCAGCAGCCGCGGUAAUACGGAAGGUCCAGGCGUUAUCCGGAUUUAUUGGGUUUAAAGGGAGCGUAGGCCGGAGAUUAAGUGUGUUGUGAAAUGUAGACGCUCAACGUCUGACUUGCAGCGCAUACUGGUUUCCUUGAGUACGCACAACGUUGGCGGAAUUCGUCGUGUAGCGGUGAAAUGCUUAGAUAUGACGAAGAACUCCGAUUGCGAAGGCAGCUGACGGGAGCGCAACUGACGCUUAAGCUCGAAGGUGCGGGUAUCGAACAGGAUUAGAUACCCUGGUAGUCCGCACAGUAAACGAUGGAUGCCCGCUGUUGGUACCUGGUAUCAGCGGCUAAGCGAAAGCAUUAAGCAUCCCACCUGGGGAGUACGCCGGCAACGGUGAAACUCAAAGGAAUGACGG
rnacentral:rRNA from 1 species